rnacentral:RNase_P_RNA from 1 species
GCGGGGGAAUGCACGGUCGCGCCUGGGCGUGAGUUCAGGUGAGGAAAGUCCGGGCACCGCAGGGCAGGAUGCCAGCUAACGGCUGGUCGGCGAGUCGAGCGUCCGCGUGAGCGCCAUCACGCGCGGGAAGCGGCGAAGCCGAAGGACAGUGCCACAGAAACCAGACCGCCAGUGCCACCCAGUCCGGGCGCGGACGGCACUGGUCAGGGUGAAACGGUGCGGUAAGAGCGCACCAGGCCGCGUGGAGACACGGGGCGUCUGGUAAACCCCAUCCGGUGCAAGACCCGACAGUGCGCGAGGGCGGCCCGCCCGUUGACCGCCAGGAUGGUCGCAUGAGGCGCCCUGGCAACAGGCGUCCCAGAGAGAUGACCGCGCAGCCACGCAAGUGGUGGACAGAACCCGGCUUACAGUUCCCCCGCACCA